rnacentral:lncRNA from 1 species
CCGGGGGAUAGUGAGGGCGGUGGACCGAAGAUGACAUUUAUCCAAGGGAGUGUAAAAUAGAGUCAGAGAAGCACUGGUAUGAGGAGUUUGGAGCCCUCAUUCCAUUCAUUCCCUGAGUUCUAGGAGCCUCCUCUGUUCCUCCAGAAGCCAAAAGACAGGGCAGGAAGACAAAAUCUUUCCGCAACUCCUCACCAUUCUCUGUUGUGCCCACAAUCUCCGGUUCCACCCUCACUGUAAAAUCACGUCUCCAUCCGCCUGCUUGAUCUUUCAGCCAGCCGCUCCUCAGCUGGAGAAUGGGAAAUAAUGGGCUGUGCCAGCAAGCCACACUCCAAGGGCAGAGUGCUCAGUGA